GGAAAAAGUGUAGAUCUCCUUCCCCUCUACGCAAGGACCUCGAUUUUCAAAAAAAAAAAGGUAAAUAUCCAUCCCUAUCUAGUCUUUUGAUGACAUUAGGCUAUACAAAGGGUGGAUGUAGUCUAGAGGGGUCGGAUAAGGGUUGUAGAGGUGGUUAAAAGAGGAAGAAUCGGAUUUCGACAAAUUUUUCCGACACUACGGAAAAACUGUGUCGAAGUUCCAACUUCGGCGAAUUAUUUCGGGGGUCAAACGGCCUCCGAUAGUGAUGCAUGUUACCUUUUUGGAAUCCCCUA
rnacentral:lncRNA from 1 species